rnacentral:rRNA from 1 species
UACGUAGGGGGCGAGCGUUGUCCGGAAUCAUUGGGCGUAAAGCGCGUGUAGGCGGCCCGGUAAGUCCGCUGUGAAAGUCCAGGGCUCAACCCUGGGAUGCCGGUGGAUACUGUCGGGCUCGAGUCCGGAAGAGGCGAGUGGAAUUCCUGGUGUAGCGGUGAAAUGCGCAGAUAUCAGGAGGAACACCAAUGGCGAAGGCAGCUCGCUGGGGACGUGACUGACGCUGAGACGCGAAA